UAGGGAAUCUUCCGCAAUGGGCGAAAGCCUGACGGAGCAACGCCGCGUGAGUGAAGAAGGAUUUCGGUUCGUAAAGCUCUGUUGUUAGGGAAGAAUGAUUGUAUAGUAACUAUAUACAGUAGAGACGGUACCUAACCAGAAAGUCACGGCUAACUACGUGCCAGCAGCCGCGGUAAUACGUAGGUGGCAAGCGUUGUCCGGAAUUAUUGGGCGUAAAGCGCGCGCAGGUGGUUUAAUAAGUCUGAUGUGAAAGCCCACGGCUCAACCGUGGAGGGUCAUUGGAAACUGUUAAACUUGAGUGCAGGAGAGAAAGGUGGAAUUCCUAGUGUAGCGGUGAAAUGCGUAGAGAUUAGGAGGAACACCAGUGGCGAAGGCGGCUUUUUGGCCUGUAACUGACACUGAGGCGCGAAAGCGUGGGGAGCAAACAGGAUUAGAUACCCUGGUAGUCCACGCCGUAAACGAUGAGUGCUAAGUGUUGGUCUCAUAAGAGAUCAGUGCUGCAGCUAACGCAUUAAGCACUCCGCCUGGGGAGUACGACCGCAAGGUU
rnacentral:rRNA from 1 species